GCUUUCCUGUGGUACAGUUGGUAGAGCAUUGCGCUAACAACGCAAAGGUUGUGGGUUAAUAUCCCAGGGAAAGCA
rnacentral:tRNA from 1 species